UACGGGGGGGGCAAGCGCUGUUCGGAAUUACUGGGCGUAAAGCGCGUGUAGGCAGCUCGGAAAGUCGGAUGUGAAAGCCCUGGGCUCAACCUAGGAAGUGCAUUCGAAACUUCCGAGCUGGAGUGCUGGAGAGGAAGGCGGAAUUCUCGGUGUAGAGGUGAAAUUCGUAGAUAUCGAGAGGAACACCGGUGGCGAAGGCGGCCUUCUGGACAGUCACUGACGCUGAGACGCGAAAGCGUGGGGAGCAAACAGG
rnacentral:rRNA from 1 species